AGAGUUUGAUCCUGGCUCAGAUUGAACGCUGGCGGCAUGCUUUACACAUGCAAGUCGGACGGCAGCGGGGUAGUGCUUGCGCUACUGCCGGCGAGUGGCGAACGGGUGAGUAAUAUAUUGGAACGUACCGAGUAAUGGGGGAUAACCAAUCGAAAGAUUGGCUAAUACCGCAUACGCUCCGAGGAGGAAAGCAGGGGACCUUCGGGCCUUGCGUUAUUCGAGCGGCCAAUAUCUGAUUAGCUAGUUGGUGGGGUAAAGGCCUACCAAGGCGACGAUCAGUAGCGGGUCUGAGAGGAUGAUCCGCCACACUGGGACUGAGACACGGCCCAGACUCCUACGGGAGGCAGCAGUGGGGAAUUUUGGACAAUGGGCGCAAGCCUGAUCCAGCCAUGCCGCGUGUCUGAAGAAGGCCUUCGGGUUGUAAAGGACUUUUGUUAGGGAAGAAAAAGGAACGGUUAAUACCCGUUUCUGCUGACGGUACCUAAAGAAUAAGCACCGGCUAACUACGUGCCAGCAGCCGCGGUAAUACGUAGGGUGCGAGCGUUAAUCGGAAUUACUGGGCGUAAAGCGAGCGCAGACGGUUACUUAAGCAGGAUGUGAAAUCCCCGGGCUCAACCUGGGAACUGCGUUCUGAACUGGGUGACUAGAGUGUGUCAGAGGGAGGUAGAAUUCCACGUGUAGCAGUGAAAUGCGUAGAGAUGUGGAGGAAUACCGAUGGCGAAGGCAGCCCCCUGGGAUAACACUGACGUUCAUGCUCGAAAGCGUGGGUAGCAAACAGGAUUAGAUACCCUGGUAGUCCACGCCCUAAACGAUGUCAAUUAGCUGUUGGGCAACUUGAUUGCUUAGUAGCGUAGCUAACGCGUGAAAUUGACCGCCUGGGGAGUACGGUCGCAAGAUUAAAACUCAAAGGAAUUGACGGGGACCCGCACAAGCGGUGGAUGAUGUGGAUUAA
rnacentral:rRNA from 1 species